UCCUCCUAAUCAUUACUCUUCCUCUCUUUUUGCCUUUUACUUUCCUCCCGCCAUGCCUGUUGAAAUGUGGAACAUAUCUGAGAGCUGUUGAGGGGUGCGUGUUUUGUGCUCAAAUGCUCUCACGCCAAUAAAACUUGAAAGCUAAGAAGAAUCAUUAAUUGAAUUUUAGGACACGAGAGAUGAAGACGCAGGGCUUGAAACAAAGAGCGUAUCCAAGAAAUGGCUGCGGCAUAGCCACCUGUUGAAACUCUUUCAUCAGCAAAAUUCUCCAUUGAAAGCUUCAACCUUGACCCCUUGAAAGGUUGAUGGGCAACCCCAAAGUGCCUACUAAGUAUUCGCUGAAAUGCCCCAAAGAGUCUGCGCGGGAGGGAAGAGAAUAUAAGUUUGAUGAAUGGGGUCGUCGUCUACCUCCAAGGUUGGGAUUGGCAUACCCAUCUCCAGUUACUAAAGAAUUGAACUAGAACAAGGCGAAAAACAAAAAGCAAAAUUACAAAGACAGGGAGGGGAUGGGUGAGGCGAGA